CCUGCGGGGUCAGCGGCGGACGGGUGAGUAACGCGUGGGAACGUGCCUUCUGGUUCGGAAUAACCCUGGGAAACUAGGGCUAAUACCGGAUACGCCCUUUUGGGGAAAGGUUUACUGCCGGAAGAUCGGCCCGCGUCUGAUUAGCUAGUUGGUGGGGUAACGGCCUACCAAGGCGACGAUCAGUAGCUGGUCUGAGAGGAUGAUCAGCCACACUGGGACUGAGACACGGCCCAGACUCC
rnacentral:rRNA from 1 species